UAGGCCCGAUCGGGUCUGUAUUGGGCCUCGCACGUCAGGGCGUCGCCUCGAAUGAAUCGGUCGAAUGCGCGGACGAGAUCCAUUAGGACUGACCGUUCAGAGACCAUAAACCUCUGAUUUGACCUCAGAUCAGGUAGGGACACCGCCUGAACUUAAGCAUAUCAAUAAGGCGAGGAACAGAAACCAACAGGGAUUCCCUCAGUAGUGGCGAAUGAAGCGGGAAAAGCUCAAGUUUGAAAUCUGGAGGCGACUUCAGAGUUGUAAGCUGAAGAGGUGUCGACCGACGCGGUCCGGGCCCAAUUUCCUUGGAACAGGAGGUCAUGGAGGGUGAGAACCCCGUCCUUGGCUCGGGAGCCGAUGUCCUUGUGUCGUAUCCUCGAAGAGUCGGGUUGUUUGGGAAUGCAGCUCAAAAUGGGUGGUAAAUUUCAUCUAAAGCUAAAUACUGGCGAGAGACCGAUAGCAAACAAGUAGAGUGAUCGAAAGAUAAAAAGUACUUUGAAAAGAGAGUGAAACAGUACGUGAAAUUGUUGAAAGGGAAGCGUUUGGCAUCAGCCCUCGGCGCUCGACGAUCAUCUGGGCUUCAUGUCCGGUGCACUUGUCGAACGCCGGGCCAGCGUCGGCUUUGCCCAUGGGAGAAAGGUGUGAGGGAUGUGGCUCCCUUCGGGGAGCGUUACAACCCC
rnacentral:rRNA from 1 species